rnacentral:misc_RNA from 1 species
GAAAUGCGAUAAGUAAUGUGAAUUGCAGAAUUCAGUGAAUCAUCGAAUCUUUGAACGCACAUUGCGCCCGCCAGCACUCUGGCGGGCAUGCCUGUUCGAGCGUCAUUUCAACCCUCAGAACCCCUUGCGGGAUCUGGCGUUGGGGAUUGACAUCCAGCCAGCCCCGAAAUCUAGUGGCGGUCCCUCCGCGACCUCCCCUGUGCAGUAGCGAUACCUCGCAGCGGGACAGCGGUCUGACCACGCCGUAAAACCCCCAACUUCUCAAGGUUGACCUCGAAUCAGGUAGGAAUACCCGCUGAACUUAAGCA